UACGUAGGGGCCGAGCGUUGUCCGGAGUUAUUGGGCGUAAAGCGCGCGCAGGCGGCUUCGCGCGCCCGACGUGAAAGCCCCCGGCUUAACCGGGGAGAGUCGUUGGGGACGGCGGAGCUUGAGGGCGGGAGAGGUCGGUGGAAUUCCCGGUGUAGUGGUGAAGUGCGUAGAGAUCGGGAGGAACACCUGUGGCGAAGGCGGCCGACUGGGCCGACCCUGACGCUGAGGCGCGAAGGCGUGGGGAGCGAACGGG
rnacentral:rRNA from 1 species